rnacentral:misc_RNA from 1 species
GUAUUUCUGUGUAAAUAUGCUUGUUUACUAUCGCCCAAAUAUAAAGACCACAUGUAUUAUAAGUUUGGACAAUGUAGAGUAGUAGAGUAGCAAAAGAAUAAAUAUUACGUGUAACACGUCUCAAAAACGUUAAAACUUGGUCAUUAUUUCCAAAAUGGGUGCGUCAGUAUGCUUUGGUUCACUGCGCCCUAGGUAUUUAGGUUACAUUACUACGUGUCAGUUUGAUCUGGAGGAGGAAGGAAUUGUGUUGCAAUUCAAUGAAGUAUAUAACUGCACAUGCGCGUCAUGUGUCACAUGGUUAACCAAGACGUGCCUACCUGGACGCUGUUUAUCUUGAAUAACAAUGACAAGACACAUGCUUGCCUGUAUUACACCUGAAGUUUCAUUCAGACAUAGCCCACAUUAUUUGCUCAUGUCAAAUAACAAGCGAAACAACCAGUAAAAUGCUGAAUGCUCCACAUGAACGCAUUGGGUAUAUUUGUUCAUUGUAGAGCAACAUGACCUCAUGGAAAGGGGUGUAUACAACAGUUUCAGUCAUGUGACCUGAAAAUGUCGUCAUUAGUCUAUAUUUAACGUAAGUUGUUGCACAAUCGGAUUGUCAAUAGCGGAAAGUGUAGUCCCUAUGGCCAGUUUGCCUUCACGGAUGGGUGGACUCUGUUGUCUGGUUUAUAAGACGCAUAUACAUUAGCCCUGCGGUUGUUCAGUUGAAGUCGGAGAUAAUUUCCUCGUCUUAAGUGAAAGAGUUGGGGUGAAUACUGCACUAUGGCUGAGAUAGCGAUGGAAAGAAUAGAGGAUCAAAAUCCUGGAGCUGCUCAUGAAGAGGACCACACUACAAGGACAAACCAUCCACCACAACCAACACAACCGGUUCAACCAUCAACCUUCCAUCCACCACCACCACCACCACCACCAUCUUACCAACCUCUAAUGUCAACGCAGAUGCUGUCGGAAGCAGGUCACGAAAAUGUGACUAGUUUUGUUCUCGAGGCCGAAACAAAUAACUGCGGGAAUUCCGGGUUUCAGCGGGAACGUUGGACAUCCAAUGUAGAGUUUAUUGCGUCAGUGCUAGCAUUGAGCAUUGGUUAUGGGACAUUUAUUGCACUUCCCUAUUUGAGCAGCACAUAUUCAGUUGCCUUCAUGGCAGUCUACGCUGCCUUCUAUUUCGUCAUCGGAGUGCCCAUCCUGUACAUGGAUCUGAGCCUUGGACAAUUCAGUAGCAGAGGACCAGCCCACAUCUGGAAUUUGUGUCCACUGUUCAGAGGAAUAGGCGUUGGGAUGAUGGUUUACUCCGCCAUAUUACUUCCCGUAAUCACUUUGAUUUCAUCGUGGUCUCUGUACUACGUGGUUCAAUCGUUCUCCUCCAUGCUGCCCUGGUCGAACUGCAACAACGCAUGGAACACGCCAACAUGCUUCAAUAGUACCACAGGUGGCCCGGGUGUACAAUACUUGAACAAAAGAGUUCUACAGGUGUCUGAAUCCUCCGGAAUAGACGACAUGGGAGGUUUCCAGUGGGAGCUAGUUGGCUGUUGUGCUGGAUUGUCAGUUUUAGUCUUCUUUGCUUUGUUUUGGGGAGUAAAGGUUCUUGGGAAGGUUUUCUGCAUCACCAUGUCACUGAUGUCUGUAUUGGCACUGGUUCUGUUCAUCAAAGCAAUGACGCUUCCUGGAUCCUCAGAUGGAUUAGCAUAUCUUUUUACACUGAACUUUCGAGCAGAUCUUACAAGUAAACAUAUGUGGAUCGGGGCCUUCUUACGGGCCAUGUUCGCUGUUGGCAUAACAUCGGGUCUCGUUAACAAUCUUGCAAGCUACAGACACUUCAAAUCCUCUGCGUUAAGGGACUCCGUUAUAAUAUGCAGUGUCGGUGCUGUUGGUCGUUUGCUCGCAGCCUUGAUGAUGAUGAGCCUCACCGGGGCUCUGGCCAACACAAAACACUCGUCGAUAUACAAUGUCGAAACUGCAGGCAUAAGAAGCGCAUUUGAGUAUAUCCCGGAGCUGUUUCCUCAUCUCCCUGCGUCCCAGUUCUGGAGUUUUGCUUACUUCUGCAUUCUUCUUCUUGUCGGGUUGAAUUCUCAGUUUGUAUAUGCAGACAUGAUCAUCACAGCUGUAGUUGACAGCCUGCCACGCCGAUCUCGCAUGAUAAGAAUCGUGGUUACUGUGGUUACCUGCAUUGCAACCCUCUUGCUGACGCUUCCAUAUUUGGCUAAAGGAGGGGUUAUUUUGAUCUGGCUGGUUGACUAUUACAUAAGUUAUGUGUCAAUCUAUGUUCAUGGUAUCCUACAGUUCCUUACAGUUGGAUGGAUUUAUGGCAUGGGUCGGCUGGGCAGAGAUAUUGAGAUGAUGACUGGCACUCCACCUCCGAUAGUCAUCAAGUUUAUCUGGUGUUUCAUCCUUCCGCCCGUCUUGCUGAUUUUCCUGGUGUUAUUCUUCAUCGAUUACACCCCUCCAAAUUACACUUUGGAUUCAAGGGCGAUCGACUAUCCAGUGUGGGCCCACGUACUGGGGUGGUUCAUAGCACUGGUUCCACUGGCACCAUUACCCGUGUUUGCAUUCCUGGCUCUUGUCACUUCGUCUCAGCAUUUCUUAAGCCCGCGACCAGAAUGGGGACCGGCUGAAGAUAGCUACAAGAGGCAAUAUGACAGUCAGCGCCAGUACAAUGUAACACUGACUGAGAGAAUCACUUCAAUAUUCACGAACUGAUGUCACCGUACCGUGUCUCCCUUAGCUUCAUUAAAGACAAGGCGCACAAAAAAGCAAUAGAUCAAACUUCAAGAAUUUGUAAUUCUAAAUUAAACCUAUGAUUUUUUUUAAUGCAUAUACUUGUUAUGUUCAACAUUAUCAGUAAAUGUCGCGUCACUGGAUUGCCUUUUCUCUUGGUUGUCUACUUAAAACGCAGUUGUUUAAAGGUCCAGUGUUACUGUGCUCUCCCUGGCAUCAAAACAAUAUGAACAUUACAAAUUGUGCGAGCGGCAUUUGCUACCGGUAAGCAUGACAUGUGUACCCUUUUCGUGAAUACCUGAUGCUAUAACUGAGUUUUUGGUGAUCUAUUUGCAUUGUCGCCGUUUAAGACAAAUAUGAUAUAAUAAUAAUAAUAAUAAUAAUAAUAAUAAUAAUAAUAAGUCCAUUUAUAUAGCGCCCUAUAUCCAAUCACCAAGUGGUUGCUCAUGGCACUGACAUAUAUACAUAUUUACAACAGGAGUUCAUUUAUAUGUCAUAGUGCUUCUUGAACAGGAAAGUUUUUAAGUUAGAAUGCAAGCUGGCUAUUGAGGGGGGAUUCUUUGAGAGACACAUGCAGAUUGUUCCAGAGGAUAGCUGACAAGUAGGAACAACGUCGAUGUCCGUAUGUCUUCAGACCUGCAUUUGGGACGAUGAGCAGUAACUGAUGGCUGAUCAAAGAGUCCUAGUUGGAACGUACCCUCUGACAAGACUAGAGAGAUAGGAUGGAGCUGCAUUGUUAAGACAUCUAUACGUCAUGUUAAGUAUCUUGUAUUCUAUCCUGGCUGGGAGUGGUAACCAGUGCAGACGCAUGAGGAUUGGGGAGAUGUGGCUGUGCUUGGUGGUUCUGCAGAUCAAUCUGGCAGCUGCAUUUUGGACUUUUUGCAAUCUGGAGAGCAGGUCUUUGUUCAUGUUCCCAAGCAAACUGUUGCUGUAUUCCAAGCGGGACAACACCAUAGAUCUUACAAGAUGGUGUGUUGCGUCAGCUGUUAAUAGGUGGCGUAUGCUGGAGAUAUUCCUCAUUACACUUGGAACAAGUCGAAAUCUUUUGUCGUUAAACAAUAGAAGCUCACCAGAAGAGUAGACCCUGCUUCUGUCUCUAUUCAGUAUCUGUGAUGUCCUGAUUGAGUCCACAGCACUUCCAUUGUCCAGCUGGCUUGUCUGAUCACUGGUUACCAUCUCACAGGUAGUGUCCAGCUUGGGGGUAAUCAUAUAUGAUGCGACGUUUCGGUAUGGAUUCUUAUACCGUUGUCAAGCAAGACUCUUAUGUUAUGACUGUUCAUGUAUUCGUGUUGUUUGUUUUUGUUUCUCUUUUGUUUUAUUAUUUUUGUUGGUGUGACCGAGGGAGAGGGGUUUUAGUUUUCUAUUCUAAUGAAUAUAAUGACCCUUUUAAAGUCAAAACUUGUUUACAUUAUUUCUUCUGAGUUCUUAUUUAUCAGAAUGUAGGCCGGUCAUAGUAACAUAAAUGAAACGGCAAAUGAAAGCUGUUUUUGUCAGCAUUACAAUCUAUUUAAACAAUUACACACAGUUUUAUCAAAUAUAUUAUUUUGCAUGUCCAAAAGUACUUUUUCUUAUUGUCAAACGUUUUUUUCUUUCAAUUUCAUAAUAACCCAUGACUCUUUAUUAAAAUAGAUUCAAUUGUCUACAGCCGCGGUCAAUAGUUGUCCGUUUCGACAUCUUACCAUUUAUGAUCAGCCGAUAUUUUACUUAAUUUUACUUUGAUUACACAAUGCCAUUUAGAAAGUGGUCAAAUGUAACAUGUGUUAUAUUUGAGAUUACACGUUCUUAGUAAGGUAAAAAUUCUUGUCAUUAUUGGG